GCCCUCUGGGGGAGGCCCCGGCAUGGAGCAGAGUUCUCCUGAGGGCCUCAGAUUGGCCAUUCAGCAGCUGCUCAAUGCUGUCUCCACAUGAGCUGGCAUUCUCAGCAGAAGUAAAGGAAGCUCCUACAGGGAACACUAGCAUCCAAGUUUUCCAACACCAUGGGCUCAUGGAGAGCCAGAAAGGCACACAAAGACCUUCUCUCUGGGAGGUGGACAGGAAGCACGCUGUAGCACAUCACCCAGCAGUCCCUAUUCUCCCCCUUGUCCUGACAACAUCAUCCUGUGACUCACCAGCUGUCAGUGAGCAAGUGAGUGAGUGAGUUCCAGGAUCAGAAUGGAGCCCUCCAGGCUGUGCCAGUUUGAGCCUGGUCUCCCAUUCAAAGAUGGGCUUCAACUGCAGCAGG